CAGCUAUCCAUGUAAUUAGAAGAAAUUUUCUGGGAACUUAAAUACAGCAGUGAAUAGAUGAUGCUCCUAAAAGACAAUCCGAUUGCUCAUUUAGAUAAUGUUGCAGGGAAGAAAUCUCAAACCUUAUCAUGUAACGCACCACUGUUAUCACAGAAGUAGGUCUUAGCCUGAUCUUGCUCACUUCCCCAUGUGAGUUAAUAUUCUGCUGAUCAGAGCUUCCUUUUUCCCAGAAACAGGAAGAUUGUGCGCUGUCAAGUAGAGCUUCAACUCCGCCACUGUCAAGUCCUUCAACUGUCCAUUGUCAGCAAGGUCAGCCCAGUCAUAAUUUGCAGACUCAUUGGCAGCAUUUUCAGCAGCUGCUUUCCUUUUUUUGGAGGCCUCAUUUGCUUUUCCAUUGCCCACAGAGUUGCUUUCCUCAUCAUACUUGUCUCCAUAAACAGAAAGCUUAAACUCUUCUAUUGCCUUAACAACUCCUAGCCUAGCCAUGCCUUCCUCAUCAGGAAGUGUUUCAUCUAUGGUGUCUGGUAUCUCUUCUUCUUCUAGAGCAAGUGCCUGCAACAUUGCGUAGUGUCUCUGAAGAGCCGGGUUAGCAAAUUGGCAUACUGAAAAAUCUUUCAAGUAAAUACGUUUAAUUAAAUCAGCAGCCUUUUUAAUGUGGUCAUCAGUUGCACGGGGUACCCUCACAUUUGACUCUGAAUGAAACUCUUCAAUAAGUCUGACAUCAUCAGUAUAUGGAAGAUAUAUCAUGUGCAUUCCUGGUGGCUCAACCUGACCACCAGCACUAAUAAUCUCAUCUUGUGCAACAAGGGCAACCAAUCGGGGAUGAAAGGAGCUGCCACAAUAUGCAACAGCAAAACGAU
rnacentral:misc_RNA from 1 species